ensembl:lncRNA
GAAUUUAUUUAUUUAUUUAGAAAUUUGAAUUAGUGGAAUACAUAGGCUUAAGUAUGUUUUAUCCCUUAUGAAUAUAAAAAUCCUGUCUUCAGAUCAGCUGUGGGAUGACACAUAAGCCAAACAGCAAAACCUCUAAGACAAUAAAUGACAAUAUAUAUAGCUGACUGCUAUAUUUUAUUUUCCAUGAAAUUUCAACAUCCAAACCUAUGUUUACAUGCAAAUAUGAGAUCCCUAUAAAAAAUCAUUAUACCAUUCAUCAUUUGUUCCAUGCAUGCUUUCAUGUCCAAAAAGUAAACUGUACCAGCUUCUAAGUAGAACUGUUCACUGGAGACAACUUCUGACUAAAAGCAAAACAAAACAAAACAAAACAAAAACAAAACAAAAAAAACCUGACAUGAAUGGUGUGGCUGGUAAAAACAUCAUUAGGCCAAGAAGUUGGCAAUGCUGAUUCAUAAAAUUGGUUAUUUAAAUUUCAGGUUUGAUGUUGCUAAAGAGAGCAGUCUAGCAGUACUAAUACCCCACAGAAACUCAGUGUUGGGGAAAUACAGAGAAAGAUAUUGACAUGCGGAAUCAAACUCUAUAACCCAGUUAGGUUAUAAAGCAUCUAUGUUUAUUCAGCCUACCGGGUGCAAGGGGGACCACUCCACCAAACUUGCAAACCAGCAAGUUCAAAAAUGCUACAGGUUUGUAAGCCAAGUCCAUACUUAUUCAGCAGAAUUCUUGUAGCCCAUCUACAUAUUCAUUGCAUAAUUCCAGAAAUUCAUUUAUAUACUUCCCCUCCCCUGGCACAUGCGUUGUCCGUAGUAGGGGUCUCCCUCUGGUGGUCGUGGGGAUGAAGUCAGAAGUCUUCCUCGUGAAGGCUCAACAUCUUCCUCAGUCUGACCUUUUUACGGUGCAUUCAAACCAGUCAAAGCCAUUCAUUUUGUAUUGUUCCUUUCUUUGUGUUUGCACAGCUGACCAUGAAAUGUUGAGAUGUUGUUCUCCUUCCCUAGUUUCUAAAGCUAGCUUAUUUAACCCCUAUAUGUUCAAACCCUAGACCCACCUGAGCUCCUGACCUCAAUAUUAUCACUCACACAACGGCAGACAGCCACACUGUCUUACUCCAAUUUAUAGGAGGGAGGGGAGGUUCUUUUAGUAUAUGUAUACCCGACAGUGAGAUUAAGACACCACGGGUCAAAUGUUAGCCUGUGCAGUUUAUUACAAAUCCUAGUUGCUUAGAGAUAUGGGGAAGGGAAGACAGACGAUAGAAAAGAGAUAGGAAAUAAAAACAAGGAUUCUUUGUAGAAAGCAAGAGAGAGUCACCACCGUGGGUCCAACGUGGAACGUAGCAUUUCCGUUGUUCUCAGGAAGUCAUCACAGUGAGGGAUGGGAGAAAGCAGGUCUGGGGGGGUUAUUUCCUAAGAAAGAGGUUUCUUUGCUUUGGGAGUUUUUCUCCAGAGUCCUUAGUUUAGGGAGGGCCUUUUACCCCCCAUUUCUCAGUUGUUUUUUUCUUCUUUUCUCUCUGUUAGUGUGACACACCCGGCCCAACAGAUAAACCAGCAGGGAGGAAGUCCGUCAGCAAACGGUCCGUAGAGAAGGAUCGGAAGGCAGGAAGCUCGUGUCGUGGUGAGAGAUCAGCCUCUACCGUUGCCGUGGUUGUGGUGAAGGAUCAGCUUC